GAUGAACGCUGGCGGCGUGCCUAAUACAUGCAAGUCGAACGAAACUUCUUUAUCACCGAGUGCUUGCACUCACCGAUAAAGAGUUGAGUGGCGAACGGGUGAGUAACACGUGGGCAACCUGCCCAAAAGAGGGGGAUAACACUUGGAAACAGGUGCUAAUACCGCAUAACCAUAGUUACCGCAUGGUAACUAUGUAAAAGGUGGCUAUACUACCGCUUUUGGAUGGGCCCGCGGCGCAUUAGCUAGUUGGUAGGGUAAAGGCUUACCAAGGCAAUGAUGCGUAGCCGAAUUGAGGGGUUGAUCGGCCACAUUGGGACUGAGACACGGCCCAGAGUCCGACGGGAGGCAGCAGUAGGGAAUCUUCCACGAUGGGCGAAAGCCUGAUGGAGCAACGCCGGGUGGGUGAAGAAGGUCUUCGGAUCGUAAAACCCUGUUGUUAGAGAAGAAAGUGCGUGGGAGUAACUGUUCACGUUUCGACGGUAUCUAACCAGAAAGCCACGGCUAACUACGUG
rnacentral:rRNA from 1 species